UGGUGGAGUGAUUUGUCUGGUUAAUUCCGAUAACGAACGAGACCUUAACCUGCUAAAUAGCCAGACCGUCUUUUGAUGGUUGCGGGCUUCUUAGAGGGACUGUCAGGAUCUACCUGACGGAAGUUUGAGGCAAUAACA
rnacentral:rRNA from 1 species